GCCGGAGUGGCGGAACAGGUAGACGCGCUGGUCUCAAAAACCAGUGGGGGUAACCCCGUGCCGGUUCGAGUCCGGCCUCCGGCACCA
rnacentral:tRNA from 1 species